GCCGCCGCCGCCGACGCCGACGCCGCCGCCGCCGAAGCACGUGGGCCUGGCCGGACUCCUCUGCCACCGCCGCCAGGCACCCCCGAGCGGCGGGCGGAGGGAUGUUCCACGCGGAUCCUGUCCACCGUGCCCUAGCGGCCUGUAUGAGAGUAGGACGUUGGAGAAGAAAAAGGAGCUCAAGGACCUGUACGUAACCGCUCUGCCUUAGCGCCCCUGCUGCCGACCUUGGGCCCCGCGGAGCCCACAGUACUGGCGAAAGCAGCUCCGCGUCGCUGGGCCCCGCGCACCUGGGCCUGUGGUCCGCUCUGGGCGUGUCCCGGGCCACCACCCCUUCCUCCAAGCUUCAGGCGGAGUGAAUCCACGAGGUCUUGUUCUGCUAGCUUCUGACUCUGCCGGCUGCAAGGCCUCCGCUUUUUUCUUCUUGAAAACACACUUUAAUAAUUUAAAGCCGGGGGAGGAGGGGCAAAACCGCACCAAAUGGCAGAUAGAAGGGAAACUGAAUAUGCGUGGAAAUAAAGAUCAAACGUAGUUCUUUUUUUUUUUUUUUCUGUAACUCUGGGUUGCAUGUUGUUAUAUAUCAUUUUGGCCAUGCUGUCAUUGAAUUGCUUAUACUGUGGCAAGAUAUUCAAAGCGCAGCUGUUAUACUGCGAGGACUUUCCACCCUG
rnacentral:lncRNA from 1 species